AGACGACCGCCUAGACCGAACAGAACAGUUCCGCGGUUCAAAAAACACGGAUCAAAGCACGAGCUCUCUUUAGUCUCACUUAAUUAUGUUUGCUCCGAUUUGACUAAAGCAAAUAAAGUAUGCCUUGAACCGAGGCAUUCUACAACCUUAUCAGACGCGUUUGUUCCCGCUGUUAUCGGAAACGGAAAAGCUCGCUUGCGCUUUCACUCCGCGGUUUCACUCCGGAUUUCGAGCAACGCGGCGCAACGCCCGCCCCACGGAUUUUGGGGUUGACCGCCACCCCGAGUGUUACAAGUAUCCAAGUUGCGAGUGGGAGCUGAGCCCGAGGGGUUGGAUUGGUUUGUUUACCACGGAGGCCCCACUUUCACUCGCUCGCUCUCCCCAAAUCACAAUCUUUCUCUGCCUCGGCUCCCAAAUCUCUCUUGCUAGUGGCGAUUUACUCAAAUCAGAACGCUCAUUUAAACGGAAGGUUACAAUGUUCCCAUAAACAGUGGAUUCU
ensembl:ncRNA lncRNA:CR44826 long non-coding RNA:CR44826